AGGCAUAGUAUAGCUCCCCACGCCGUACGGUGCGCUGUUUUUGCGCCCAUACUGGUGGGGAUCAUACUGAUGGUCCCUAGAUGUGCUUUGCAUUCCAUGGCCACUAACACCUGAAAUACUUGCAUGUCUGGGUAGAGAGGUAAAGUACCUAGCGUUGUCAAAGUUUUCAUCAUCCGUGAGGAAAUUUCGGUAAUUUGGAAAACCUUCGGAGACAGGUGAGAAACUUCGGAAGGAGGUGGGACUAGUAGGGGCUGUAAAACUCACUGCUGUCUUAGACAUGUGUGUAGGACUUACCGGCGCGCUGGCAGCUACAGUUCUACACCUGUAAUACAAAGCGAAAGAUCGUAAUGUUUCCAGUUACUCGUCGACCAGGAAGGUUACAACUCUAGUACCGAUACUUCAGUUAAAAUUCAUUGGUAUCCUUCGACCAAUCUUGGGAAUGAUUUUUUAUCGUGGCUCUUUCCCAAGAAAUGCAGGAUUAAAACAACUGCAAAAACAGCACUAUGGGAAUAUGCAGUUCACUUGAUCUACAAAAUCGAAAUUUUCUUGUAAUACGGUCACGUUCAACCGACAUAACUUUGACUUCAACCUUCACGGAAGGAAGUACACGAGUUGGCGCCAUGACCUGUUUAUCAGCUGUGGAAAGUUCCAUGUGACUUAAAUUUGUGUUGAUCUACAGACAUGCUUUUCUGGUUUUUAGAGACAUGAUGGCUGCUCGCCCGUGUGUUGCAUGAAGUUAACACGUAUAAAAUAACAUAUUCGCUGUUUGUUACAUGUUAACUCGGUCACCUACAUGUAUACUUUUCUUGAAGAAUCACGGCGGCUGGUCCGUGUGUGGUGCAGGAAAUGCUAACCAUGGCAGGCCAUAUGGAUUUGCCAGUUUUGUGGAAGUAAAAUGGUUUCUUUCUUUUUUGUAUUUCUUUCAAAUCCUACUUUGUUAUUAGUGUACGUUGAUGUAUUAUAUUCGAAGAUUGUAUGUUGACGAAGUUAAACGUGUUUACGGUACGGGUAUAUAUUCCAUUAUUGUUUAUUGAUGGCGUAGCGUAUAUUUUUCCCGAUGAAAUGUUGUUAAUCAUUGGAUACUAUGAUAUUUUUGUUAUGAGUAUAACCUGAGUUGUUUAAUGGCCAGCUAAGAUUUUACUGUAAAGAUGAAAGAAAAUUUUGUGGAAAUAUCUUCCGUCUAAAUAUAGGCUUGUUUUUAAUUACGCGUUGUCUUUAGUUAUUUUAGGUAAAAGUUACAAGCAUCGCUGAAAGUUAAGCAUCUGGCAAAUAACACUAAAAAAAUAGCAGGUAUAUUUUCUAUGUAAAUCAGGUGUCAGACAUGUUCAUUACCGUUACCAAUACACUGUCCAUUAUUGUCACUUAUUGCAUUGUUAAAACGAACCACACUUAUUUUUAAUUAGUUACUUUUUUAAAUACACGAAUUUCAAAUCUA